CGAGGGGUGGAGCAGUUCGGUAGCUCGUCGGGCUCAUAACCCGAAGGUCGCAGGUUCAAAUCCUGUCCCCGCAACCA
rnacentral:tRNA from 1 species